UUUAAAGGAAAUUUUGGCUACAAAAAAUUACAGUUCAAAAUGAAUAUUAUACUCGUAUAUGCUGUAACCAUUCUUUUUGCUUAUAACCUUAUAUUGGUCGACAAUGCUCCUCAGGAAGACAAUAUACUUUCAUCAUUAGUAAGUGCAAUUAGAUGUAGCCUUGAGGAGACCGUCAACAGCAGAGGAAAUUAUUCUCAUAGUCAAUGUCAGCAAUCGUGUUCAGUUAAGGGUUACACUAACGGUUAUUGUAAAACCAAUGGAAUUUGUAGAUGUUACAAUAGAGCUUGAGCCUCAUAAGUUUGGAGUACAAUUUUAUUAUGUUCUGUUGAGUUUUAUGAAAUAAAUGUUUUCAGACC